UACGUAGGGUGCGAGCGUUAAUCGGAAUUACUGGGCGUAAAGCGUGCGCAGGCGGUUCGUUGUGUCUGAUGUGAAAGCCCCGGGCUCAACUUGGGAACGGCAUUGGAAACUGGCGAGCUAGAGUGUGGCAGAGGGGGGUGGAAUUCCGCGUGUAGCAGUGAAAUGCGUAGAGAUGCGGAGGAACACCAAUAGCGAAGGCAGCUCGCUGGGACGUUACUGACACUGAGGCGCGAAAGCGUGGGGAGCGAACAGG
rnacentral:rRNA from 1 species